AUUACCGAGUGCGGGCCCUCUGGGUCCAACCUCCCAUCCGUGUCUAUCUGUACCCUGUUGCUUCGGCGUGGCCACGGCCCGCCGAAGACUAACAUUUGAACACUGUCUGAAGUUUGCAGUCUGAGUUUUUAGUUAAACAAUAAUUAAAACUUUCAACAACGGAUCUCUUGGUUCCGGCAUCGAUGAAGAACGCAGCGAAAUGCGAUAAUUAAUGUGAAUUGCAGAAUUCAGUGAAUCAUCGAGUCUUUGAACGCACAUUGCGCCCCCUGGUAUUCCGGGGGGCAUGCCUGUCCGAGCGUCAUUGCUGCCCUCAAGCACGGCUUGUGUGUUGGGCUUCCGUCCCUGGUAACGGGGACGGGCCCAAAAGGCAGUGGCGGCACCAUGUCUGGUCCUCGAGCGUAUGGGGCUUUGUCACCCGCUCCCGUAGGUCCAGCUGGCAGCUAGCCUCGCAACCAAUCUUUUUAACCAGGUUGACCUCGGAUCAGGUAGGGAUACCCGCUGAACUUAAG
rnacentral:rRNA from 1 species